UACGGGGGGGGCAAGCGUUGUUCGGAAUUACUGGGCGUAAAGGGCUCGUAGGCGGCCAACUAAGUCAGACGUGAAAUCCCUCGGCUUAACCGGGGAACUGCGUCCGAUACUGGCAGGCUUGAAUUCGGUAGAGGGAUGUGGAAUUCCAGGUGUAGCGGUGAAAUGCGUAGAUAUCUGGAGGAACACCGGUGGCGAAGGCGGCAUCCUGGACCGAUAUUGACGCUGAUGCGCGAAAGCCAGGGGAGCAAACGGG
rnacentral:rRNA from 1 species